rnacentral:rRNA from 1 species
GAGCGAUUCUCUUCGGAGAAGAGCGGCGGACGGGUGAGUAACGCGUGGGUAACCUGCCCUGUACACACGGAUAACAUACCGAAAGGUAUGCUAAUACGGGAUAACAUAUAAGAGUCGCAUGACUUUUAUAUCAAAGAUUUUUCGGUACAGGAUGGACCCGCGUCUGAUUAGCUUGUUGGCGGGGUAACGGCCCACCAAGGCGACGAUCAGUAGCCGACCUGAGAGGGUGAUCGGCCACAUUGGAACUGAGACACGGUCCAAACUCCUACGGGAGGCAGCAGUGGGGAAUAUUGGUCAAUGGGCGCGAGCCUGAACCAGCCAAGUCGCGUGAAGGAAGAAGGUUCUAUGGAUUGUAAACUUCUUUAGUGCGGGAACAAAUCGGCCACGCGUGGCCAGUUGAGCGUACCGCAAGAAUAAGCAUCGGCUAACUCCGUGCCAGCAGCCGCGGUAAUACGGAGGAUGCGAGCGUUAUCCGGAUUUAUUGGGUUUAAAGGGUGCGUAGGCUGUCUGGCAAGUCAGCGGUCAAAUGUCGGGGCUCAACCCCGGCCUGCCGUUGAAACUGUCGGGCUAGAGUGGAAGUGAGGUAUGCGGAAUGCGUGGUGUAGCGGUGAAAUGCAUAGAUAUCACGCAGAACUCCGAUUGCGAAGGCAGCGUACCAACCUCUUACUAACGCUGAGGCACGAAAGCGUGGGUAUCGAACAGGAUUAGAUACCCUGGUAUUCCACGCAGUAAACGAUGAAUACUAACUGUCCGAGGGGCAACCCUUGGGUGGUACAGCGAAAGUGUUAAGUAUUCCACCUGGGGAGUACGCCGGCAACGGCGAAACUCAAAGGAAUUGACGGGGGCCCGCACAAGCGGAGGAACAUGUGGUUUAAUUCGAUGAUACGCGAGGAACCUUACCCGGGCUCAAACGCCUGAGGAAUGGCCGUGAAAGCGGCCAGCCGGCAACGGUCUCAGGCGAGGUGCUGCAUGGUUGUCGUCAGCUCGUGCCGUGAGGUGUCGGCUUAAGUGCCAUAACGAGCGCAACCCCCGCGUCCAGUUGCCAUCAAGUGAAGUUGGGCACUCUGGACGGACUGCCGGCGCAAGCCGUGAGGAAGGCGGGGAUGACGUCAAAUCAGCACGGCCCUUACGUCCGGGGCGACACACGUGUUACAAUGGCGUGGAACAGCGGGAAGCCACCUGGCGACAGGGCGCGGAACCCGAAAACACGUCUCAGUUCGGAUUGGAGUCUGCAACUCGACUCCAUGAAGCUGGAUUCGCUAGUAAUCGCGCAUCAGCCAUGGCGCGGUGAAUACGUAACCGGGCCUUGCACACACCGCCGGUCAAG